rnacentral:tRNA from 1 species
AGGGUUAUAGUUAAAUAAUAACAUUUGAUUUGCAUUCAAAAAUUAUUGAUAUAUCAAUUUACCUUG